rnacentral:rRNA from 1 species
CGUGGAGACGAGCGAGCCGUCAAAGCCGACGACCUCGGCAAGGUUAGGUCACGUCGUCUAGCUCGUCUUCUUCCUCGAUCCAGCGGCGCCGCCGGCCUCUAUAAAUCAAAGCACCGCUCCUCUGCGGCAACGUACGCACACCACCCGCAGGCAGGGAAGCCACAGCGUUCCGCUCGACGCCGGCCGUCCCCAUCCACCUCGCCUCCCGCUACAUUCGGAUUCUGGUGCGCAAUUUCUUCUUUUAUCCGUUCCGGCGGCGAUACCAUAGGGUUGCUCUUGAAUGAUGAAGCGGGUAGAUUUGUUGUUUUCCCUUGUGAUUUCUCAAGAGCCUUGCAUUGGCUGCUCUGCUCGUGAAAAAUCUCAGCGCAAAUGAGUGACAUGUAGGGGCACCAAAGUCUCUGGUCGUUGGAAGGAUAGAGUUUGCCAUGUCGUCGUCGUGUGUCCGUUGCGUGCGAGCAGUAAGCUGCUGCAAUGUAGUAGUACAAAAGCGAAUGAAAAGCAGAGCCGUCCGUAUGGCAUUUUCCUUUCUCUAGAAUAUAUAUAAAAAUGUCGCCAUCCUUCAAUAUAUAAGGGUUUGAGUGGUUCACAGCUUCACAACGCCUUCACAAUUGAUUGAGAGAUCGUUCGUUAUCCUACUGGAGUCUGCAGAAGGGAUGGCGACCAAGGUGGUGGACCUGCGCUCAGACACGGUGACCAAGCCGUCGGAGGCCAUGCGGGCCGCCAUGGCCGCGGCGGACGUGGACGACGACGUGCUGGGCGCCGACCCGACGGCCUGCCGCUUCGAGGCGGAGAUGGCGCGGAUCAUGGGCAAGGAGGCCGCGCUGUUCGUCCCCUCGGGCACCAUGGCCAACCUCAUCUCCGUCCUCGCGCACUGCGACGCCAGGGGCAGCGAGGUCAUCCUCGGCCACGACUCCCACAUCCACGUCUACGAGCACGGCGGCAUCUCCACCCUCGGCGGCGUCCACCCCCGGACCGUCCCCAACAACCCCGACGGCACCAUGGACGUCGACAGGAUCGUCGCCGCCAUCCGGAGCACGGACGGGGCGCUCUACUACCCCACCACCAGGCUCAUCUGCUUGGAGAACACCCAUGGAAAUUCGGGUGGGAAGUGUCUGACCGUGGAAUACACUGACAAGGUUGGUGAAGUUGCUAAGGCUCAUGGCUUGAAGCUUCAUAUCGACGGAGCUCGUAUCUUCAAUGCCUCCGUGGCACUUGGAGUUCCCGUUGACAGACUCGUGAGAGCUGCCGAUUCAGUUUCGAUAUGCCUGUCGAAAGGGAUAGGUGCUCCUGUUGGAUCAGUUAUUGUUGGUACCAAGGCCUUCAUACACAAGGCUAAAAUUCUUAGGAAGACACUGGGUGGUGGAAUGAGGCAGGUAGGAGUCCUUUGUGCUGCUGCCGAAGUCGGUGUUCGCGACACCGUAGGCAAGCUUGCGGAUGACCAUCGGAAGGCUAAAGUUUUAGCAGAUGGACUGAAGAAAAUCAAACAGUUCACAGUUGAUUUGAGUUCAGUGGAGACCAAUAUGGUAUUCUUUGAUAUGGCGGAUCCACGCAUAUCACCUGCCAAACUGUGCCAAGCCCUGAAACAACGCAAUGUGCUUGCAAUGCCAACAAGCUCCAAGAGCGUCAGAUUCGUCGUCCACUACCAAAUUUCAGAUAGCGACAUCCAGUAUACUUUAAAAUGUAUCGAGGAAGCCGUGGAGGAAAUCCUGGCCUGCGACGCCAAAUCGGAGCGUUGUUCGACCAACGGCACAAGCUAGCUAGGCCACACUUCUUGAAUUACUACGUGAUUGCUAUGCAUGAUGCACUAUCCAGUUCGUUUGUGAAAUAAUUGAUUGCCUGUGGUCGUGUCAAUGUCGUGGGCAUGUGGUCGUGUUCUUCUGUGUUCUUCAGCUUGGGGAGCAUGCAAUGCAAUUAGGGAUUGUUGUGACGAUACAGGUGGAUCAAUGGUCUACUUUGUUUGGCGUAUUGUUUGACCGUAGUACCCCUCGUCCAGCUACAUCUACCAUGACAGCGUAUUCUCUUCUGCUUGGGAACCUGUUCUGCAUGUUUUGCUAUUGCCCGAACGAUCGAUCCACCUGUUGUACGUUGAUGGGUUUUUUCUUGGGUCAAAAUAAAUCAACAUUGUGGGAAUUG